ACCCGGGUUGCGGACAGUGUCUGGUGGGUAGUUUGACUGGGGCGGUCUCCUCCUAAAGAGUAACGGAGGAGCACGAAGGUUGGCUAAUCCUGGUCGGACAUCAGGAGGUUAGUGCAAUGGCAUAAGCCAGCUUGACUGCGAGCGUGACGGCGCAAGCAGGUGCGAAAGCAGGUCAUAGUGAUCCGGUGGUUCUGAAUGGAAGGGCCAUCGCUCAACGGAUAAAAGGUACUCCGGGGAUAACAGGCUGAUACCGCCCAAGAGUUCAUAUCGACGGCGGUGUUUGGCACCUCGAUGUCGGCUCAUCACAUCCUGGGGCUGAAGUAGGUCCCAAGGGUAUGGCUGUUCGCCAUUUAAAGUGGUACGCGAGCUGGGUUUAGAACGUCGUGAGACAGUUCGGUCCCUAUCUGCCGUGGGCGCUGGAGAACUGAGGGGGGCUGCUCCUAGUACGAGAGGACCGGAGUGGACGCAUCACUGGUGUUCGGGUUGUCAUGCCAAUGGCACUGCCCGGUAGCUAAAUGCGGAAGAGAUAAGUGCUGAAAGCAUCUAAGCACGAAACUUGCCCCGAGAUGAGUUCUCCCUGAGACUUUAGAUCUCCUGAAGGAACGUUGAAGACGACGACGUUGAUAGGCCGGGUGUGUAAGCGCAGCGAUGCGUUGAGCUAACCGGUACUAAUGAACCGUGAGGCUUAACCUUACAACGCCGAAG
rnacentral:rRNA from 1 species